UCCGGCUUGUCACCGGCAGUUUCUCCAGAGUGCCCAGCUUAACCUGAUGGCAACUGAAGAUGAGGGUUGCGCUCGUUGCGGGACUUAACCCAACAUCUCACGACACGAGUUGACGACAGCCAUGCAGCACCUGUGCGCGCUCUCGCCUUGACGAGUCGUCCCGGUUUCCCGGUCCUACUUCGCGCAUGUCAAGCCCAGGUAAGGUUCUGCGCGUUGCAUCGAAUUAAACCACACGCUCCGCUGCUUGUGCGGGCCCCCGUCAAUUCCUUUGAGUUUUAGCCUUGCGGCCGUACUCCCCAGGCGGGGCACUUAUUGCGUUAGCGCCGGCACCGAGGGGGUCGAUACCCCCGACACCUAGUGCCCAUCGUUUACGGCGUGAACUAC
rnacentral:misc_RNA from 1 species